GUGAGGAAUUUUGCGCAAUGGGCGAAAGCCUGACGCAGCGACGCCGCGUGGAGGAGGAAGGUCUUCGGAUCGUAAACUCCUGUCUGGGGGGACGAAUGCCGGUGGGAUGAAUAAGCCCAUCGGUCGACGGUACCUCCGGAGGAAGCCCCGGCUAACUCCGUGCCAGCAGCCGCGGUAAUACGGAGGGGGCCAGCGUUGUUCGGAAUCAUUGGGCGUAAAGGGCGCGUAGGCGGCUUGGCAAGUCCGUUGUGAAAGCCCUCGGCUCAACCGAGGAAUUGCGACGGAUACUGCCGGGCUCGAGUCCCGGAGAGGGUAGCGGAAUUCCCAGUGUAGCGGUGAAAUGCGUAGAUAUUGGGAGGAACAUCGGUGGCGAAGGCGGCUACCUGGACGGGUACUGACGCUGAGGCGCGAAAGCUAGGGGAGCAAACAGGAUUAGAUACCCUGGUAGUCC
rnacentral:rRNA from 1 species